GACAGAGUAGAUAAUAUGCGUUAAGUGUCAAGGGAUGGGACGUAGCCUUUGAACGAAAAGCAAAUGCUUGCGGUAUAUUAUCGCGUUCGCUGAC
rfam:Sporanaerobacter acetigenes DSM 13106 genome assembly, contig: EJ96DRAFT_scaffold00018.18